rnacentral:rRNA from 1 species
CCUGACUGCUAUCGGAUUGAUACUAAGCCAUGCGAGUCUUUGCAGUAAUGCAAGGCAUACGGCUCAGUAACACGUAGUCAACCUAUCCUAUGGACGAGAAUAAUCUCGGGAAACUGAGCAUAAUUCUUGAUAGAUCAUAAUGCCUGGAAUGGUUUAUGGUUAAAAUGAUUCGUCGCCAUAGGAUGGGACUGCGGCCUAUCAGCUUGUUGGUGAGGUAAUGGCCCACCAAGGCGAUUACAGGUACGGGCUCUGAGAGGAGAAGCCCGGAGAUGGGUACUGAGACAUGGACCCAGGCCCUAUGGGGCGCAGCAGGCGAGAAAACUUUGCAAUGUGCGAAAGCACGACAAGGUUAAUCCGAGUGAUUUCUGCUAAAGAAAUCUUUUGCCAGUCGUAAAACCGCUGGUGAAUAAGGGGUGGGCAAGUUCUGGUGUCAGCCGCCGCGGUAAAACCAGCACCUCAAGUGGUCAGGAUGAUUAUUGGGCCUAAAGCAUCCGUAGCCUGCUUUGUAAGUUUUCGGUUAAAUCCAUGUGCUCAACGCAUGGGCUGCCGAAAAUACUGCAUAGCUAGGGAGUGGGAGAGGUAGACGGUACUCAGUAGGUAGGGGUAAAAUCCUUUGAUCUAUCGAUGACCACCUGUGGCGAAGGCGGUCUACCAGAACACGUUCGACGGUGAGGGAUGAAAGCUGGGGGAGCAAACCGGAUUAGAUACCCGGGUAGUCCCAGCUGUAAACGAUGCAGACUCGAUGAUGCAUUGGCAUAAUAGCCAUUGCAGUGUCGCAGGGAAGCCGUUAAGUCUGCCGCCUGGGAAGUACGUACGCAAGUAUGAAACUUAAAGGAAUUGGCGGGGGAGCACCACAAGGGGUGAAGCCUGCGGUUC